rnacentral:tRNA from 1 species
GGCCCCGUGGUGUAGUUGGUCAACAUGCCUGCCUGUCACGCAGGAGAUCGUCGGUUCAAGUCCGAUCGGGGUCGCCA